UACGGAGGGUGCAAGCGUUAUCCGGAUUCACUGGGUUUAAAGGGUGCGUAGGAGGGCAGGUAAGUCAGUGGUGAAAUCUUCGAACUUAACUCGGAAACUGCCGUUGAUACUAUCUGUCUUGAAUCCCGUGGAGAUGAGCGGAAUAUGUCAUGUAGCGGUGAAAUGCUUAGAUAUGACAUAGAACACCAAUUGCGAAGGCAGCUAACUAAGCUUAAACUGACGCUGAGGCACGAAAGUGUGGGGAUCAAACAGG
rnacentral:rRNA from 1 species